CUUCGGAGGUCAGAGCUCGGCGGGGUGCGGCUAGUGGCGGAGCGCGCUGCGAGGGGAGGGCUUUCCACUGUCGCUGGCGUGAACUCGCGUGCCCGGUGGGUAUCAGGGAAGAACCCCCGCCCCGGACCCCCAGAUCUGCCAUGGCCGAGGUAGCGAUCGUCUCUGCGGCCACGAAGACUGUUUUAACUUGUACCACUUUCCCUUCCAUUUUUCCUGGGGUGCCUCUCACCCUGCAUCUGCGCGUUCAGCAAGCUGGAUUUCGGGAAUGCUCAGUUCAGAAGAGAAAAAAUUGCCGGGAAUCAAGUCCUUCUUUUUGUUAGUCGGUAGUCGAUUGAUGGGAAGUGUUCAAAAUCAUUCGAUGUGGUGACAAGGCUUCACCAGGUACUGCCUUCUAACGAGCUGGCCAUUUCCACAUGUCAGAUAGGACCAACUUGCCUUUUAACUACCCGUGUGAUACUUAAACACUGUUGCCGGUAUCACAGCUUUUCUUCAAAACAGGUAAUAUUAGGGACACUUGAAAUUUGGGAAUUAGAUUUACCUUUGCUGUUACUAAAUAAUUGUUAGAAUUUUAAAUGUCAUAUUCAUUUUACUCAACUAAUCUCUUUAGCUUUCCUAUUUAUAUUCCUACUUAUGAUUACGUGUAAUUCUCAUUGGAAGGAUUAAAAUAUUUUGAAAGUAAGACAGUAAAAUUGUGAAAUACUUUGGUAUUGGUUACAAAACAGUACUUAGGUACCUUCUUCCUGAUUUUUCUGUAUUUUUAAAAAAUAAGGCCAGGCACAGUGGCAAAUGCUUAUAUUCCCAACUGCCCAGUAAGCUGAAGCAAGAGAAUUGCUUGAGCCCAACCUGGGCAACAUAGUGAAACCCCAGUCACCAAUUAAAAACAAACAAACAAAAAGAGUAUAUUUUUUGAAGAUAUUUUAUCACAUAUACAGAAGCAAACAAAGAGGGGAAGGAAUUGUUUAAAAUAAUGUUAAGCUAAAUAAAGUCAAAGAAAAUUUAAGUAAUAGUUAAUAGUUAUUGUUAUAGAAGACAUCAAUUUACUACCCCGUUCUCAAAAAGGAAAAUCUGCAAGUAGACUGUAGUGCUAGAGUAAGCUUUUCCUUAAUUUCAGAAAGCCUGUAUUAAGCAUUUACUUUAUGCCAAACUCCAUUUUAGGGACUGGAAAUAUAAAAUAAAUAAAACACAGUCCCUGCUCUCAGUGAACUUGUUGUCUAGGGAAUGUUAAGUAGAACCACCUGAAAUUGCAUUGUUUUUGUAAGCCAGCUAUCGGUUCCACCUGACAUUAUAUGUGGAAACAGAAAUUUGCAAUAAUAAAGAUAUGACCACGGUGCUACGGGGCACUGACAAAAUGCUUCAUGCUGCCCAGGGCAGUCAGUGAAGGCUCCCCAGGGGAGAUGACGUUUGAGCCGAGUUUCAGAAGAUGAUUGGAGUUUACCACGUGUUCACAGGAAGCAACGAGAAUGAGGGCAUUCCAGUAGCAGGAGACAGCAUGCAUAGAGAUGCUGAUGAAGAAAGAGCCUAGCGCACGUGGGAAACUGCAAAAGUUCAGACUGGUUGGAAUGCUGGAAAUGUUGUGAAUGACAGGAGAUGAGGCUGGCGAGAAAACAGAGGUCAGAUUGUGGAAGGCUGUCAAGCCAAAGACUUUGAUUUUAUUCUUGAGAUUGAUGAGAUGUGUGUAAUCCAGGAGUGUGCAAAACAAUCUGUAAGGGUUCAGAAAACAUACUGCUUCUAUAUAUAGUUACCUUUGUCUUAACUUGAAAAUUUCAAAUUGUGUAGGAGUUACAAUGUGUGUAAUUGUUAUUAUAGUACUGGAUCCAAAUAAUUUAUAAAUAAAUAAAUAUAGACAUAAUA
rnacentral:lncRNA from 1 species